UACGUCGGUGGCAAGCGUUGUCCGGAUUUAUUGGGUUUAAAGGGUGCGUAGGCGGUCUAUUAAGUCAGUUGUGAAAUACGGCAGCUCAACUGUCGAGGUGCAAUUGAUACUGGUGGACUUGAGUACUGAUGAGGUAAGCGGAAUGGUCGGUGUAGCGGUGAAAUGCUUAGAUAUCGUCCAGAACACCGAUAGCGAAGGCAGCUUACUAAGGAGUAACUGACGCUGAGGCACGAAAGUGUGGGGAUCAAACAGG
rnacentral:rRNA from 1 species